UAUCAAUGUUCAUGUUUUUCAUUUGAAGUACGAUGCUUUCGACCGGAGUACGCAGAAUUUCAGGCAAAGAAUGCAAGGGAAAAGAGCUAUCAAACACCGCAGACGAAUAUAGACGAUAGCAGUGACCUGGUCCCGUACGACCAGCACGACCAGCACGUUGAUCAGCAUUUGCUUUGCUAAUCCAUCGUACUUCAAAUUUUUGAACAGAAGUCUUUUCAUUAUACACGCGCUCUUUUGCCUUACCACAAUCAACAACGUAUCGAAUAUUAGGAAUGGUAAUAGAUGUUUCGGCAACAUUGGUAGCGACAAUACACAUACGAUGACCUUCUGGCGAUGAAUCAAAUACCUUCAUUUGGUCUUCGGUAGUUAACAAAGAGUAAAGAGGAAGUACAUACAUAGGUUCAGAUUCAUCAUCAUAUGUGACAGAACUUGAAGAACUUGUAGGCACUUGAUCUAUAUCUUCUGUUUCAGAUUGCAAAUCCUCGUUCUCAACGGACAUAGUUUUUCUCGAUACUACAAUGCGUGCACGAGAUUUUAGAGGCCUAAAAGAGCGUACAAACCGCUUUCGCAACAUUUGGCAAAGCUGCUCAACUUCUUGUUGACCUGUCAGAAACACAAGGAUAGAGCCUGCCGGGAGUCUUUUGUGUAUUAAGCAUACUUUAUCAAAUGCAUCUUGAAGAUAGUCAGGUUUUGUUGUGCGAUUAAAGUGAAUAGAAACAGGGUAUUGUCGUGCAUCAAUCUUAAUAAUUGGAGGCGGUACAGAGAAAAGAAGUUUAUUUUCAGAGAAAUCAGUAACACGAAGCGUGGCUGACAUAAUUAUAAGCUUAAGGGGUUUGACUUUUUGGUCACUUUUGCUCAUUUCUCUUCGCAAACGAACAAUUCGACUUAACAAACCUAAUAGAAUAUCUGUGUUUACACUUCGCUCGUGAGCUUCGUCUACAAUUACUGCUGAGUAUGCAGUUAAAAGGAAAUCAGAGGAUAAUUCUCGAAGCAAGAUUCCAUCAGUCAUGAAUUUAAUGGCGGUAUCCGGAUUGAUUGUACUGUCAAAUCUGAUUUGGUAACUAACUUUGGAAGAAAAACCAGUCAGUUCUUCAGAAACGCGUUUGGCAAUACUAACGGCAGCAACUCGUCUGGGUUGUGUAAUAGCAAUCAUU